rfam:Felis catus isolate Cinnamon breed Abyssinian chromosome D2, whole genome shotgun sequence.
GCCUGGGUGGCUCAGUCAGUUGAGCGGCCGACUUCGGCCCAGGUCACGAUCCCACAGUUUGUGGGUUCGAGCCCCACGUCGGGCU